UACUCUUCAGUAUUGAUACUUAGAUUUCAAGUUUCGCUACCCAAUAUCCAAAAACGUUAAAUCUUUGACUUUUUUACCGUGAUAUCAACUUGGAACAUGGCUUUACAUAAUCCAACAUGCAGUACAAUAGUGGCAAAAUGCAAAAUGUUUGAUUGCUAUGAGAGUCGUUAAUUUUGUUAAGAUGUAUGCAGAAUUGACAUAUUAGGUAAGAGAUGAAAAUUUAAUGUGGAAAUUGAUGUUGAAUGUGGAAAUUAAAGAAUCCACGACCUUGCGAAAUGGUAGAAAUCUAGGAUUAGCUUUGAUACCAUGUUACCCAAACUAUCGUUGUGAUAGAAAAUAGUCAAAAAAAUAUGUUUAACAUGUGAGACCCAAGAUUUGAAAUAGUUUUAUAUAUAAGGUAUGUUUAAGAUUAAAAAAAUUUAAA
rnacentral:lncRNA from 1 species